rnacentral:hammerhead_ribozyme from 1 species
AUUCAGCUGAAGAAUCCCAAACAAGACGAAACGCGCUGCUUGGAU